ACACGCAAAUUCGUGAAGCGUUCCAUAUUUUU
rnacentral:ncRNA from 3 species